rnacentral:rRNA from 1 species
GACGAACACUGGCGGCGCGCUUAACACAUGCAAGUCGAACGGAAAGGCCUGCUUUCCCUUGUGGAUUGCGGGUACUCGAGUGGCGAACGGGUGAGUAACACGUGAGUGAUCUGCCCCCAACUUGGGUAUAAGCCUGGGAAACUGGGUCUAAUUCCCGAUAGGACUGCAGGGUGGUGCCUGUGGUGGAAAACGAUUUUCUAGUGGUUGGGGAUGAGCUCGCGGCCUAUCAGCUUGUUGGUGGGGUAAUGGCCUACCAAGGCGGCGACGGGUAGCCGGCCUGAGAGGGUGGACGGCCACAUUGGGACUGAGAUACGGCCCAGACUCCUACGGGAGGCAGCAGUGGGGAAUAUUGCACAAUGGGCGGAAGCCUGAUGCAGCGACGCCGCGUGGGGGAUGACGGCCUUCGGGUUGUAAACUCCUUUCGACCGCGAGGAAGCCACCUGGUUGGAAGGGUGGUGACGGUAGUGGUAGAAGAAGCACCGGCUAACUACGUG